rnacentral:rRNA from 1 species
CAAUAGCGUAUAUUAAAGUUGUUGCAGUUAAAAAGCUCGUAGUUGGAUUUCGGGGUGGCCUGGCUGGUCCGCCGCAAGGUGAGUACUGGUCAGCCGCCCUUCCUCUCGAAGGCCCCGACUGCUCUUUACUGCAGUGGUCGGGUAGUUCGGGACGUUUACUUUGAAAAAAUUAGAGUGUUCAAGGCAGGCUAUCGCCUGAAUACAUUAGCAUGGAAUAAUGGAAGAGGACCUCGGUCCUAUUUUGUUGGUUUCUAGGGCCGAAGUAAUGAUUAAGAGGGACAGUUGGGGGCAUUCGUAUUUAAUUGUCAGAGGUGAAAUUCUUGGAUUUAUGAAAGACGAACUAGUGCGAAAGCAUUUGCCAAGGAUGUUUUCAUUAA